AUGACAAUGGAAGAGAGGUUUGGGGAUCAGAAAUUGCAAGAGGCUGCCUGCAAUCUUGUCCCCAAUAGGCAGAUGGGUCACAGCAGAAGUACGGGAAUAAUAAAACCCAUCCUCCAGGGCUGGUAAUGACGAAAUGAGGUAAUGUCUAUGAUACAGGUGGUGUGUAAUAGGUGCUUAAUAAAUACAACCUCUUAUUACCUUGUGUUAGAAGAAAGCGGCUCUCAGAAUCGAGGAUGAGUUUCC
rnacentral:lncRNA from 1 species